GGUAGUCCACGCCGUAAACGAUGUCGACUUGGAGGUUGUUCCCUUGAGGAGUGGCUUCCGGAGCUAACGCGUUAAGUCGACCGCCUGGGGAGUACGGCCGCAAGGUUAAAACUCAAAUGAAUUGACGGGGGCCCGCACAAGCGGUGGAGCAUGUGGUUUAAUUCGAUGCAACGCGAAGAACCUUACCUGGCCUUGACAUCCACGGAAUUUGGCAGAGAUGCCUUAGUGCCUUCGGGAACCGUGAGACAGGUGCUGCAUGGCUGUCGUCAGCUCGUGUUGUGAAAUGUUGGGUUAAGUCCCGUAACGAGCGCAACCCUUGUCCUUAGUUACCAGCACGUUAUGGUGGGCACUCUAAGGAGACUGCCGGUGACAAACCGGAGGAAGGUGGGGAUGACGUCAAGUCAUCAUGGCCCUUACGGCCUGGGCUACACACGUGCUACAAUGGUCGGUACAGAGGGUUGCCAAGCCGCGAGGUGGAGCUAAUCUCACAAAACCGAUCGUAGUCCGGAUCGCAGUCUGCAACUCGACUGCGUGAAGUCGGAAUCGCUAGUAAUCGCGAAUCAGAAUGUCGCGGUGAAUACGUUCCCGGGCCUUGUACACACCGCCCGUCACACCAUGGGAGUGGGUUGCUCCAGAAGUAGCUAGUCUAACUUCGGGAGGACGGUUACCACGGUGUGAUUCAUGACUGGGGUGAAGUCGUAACAAGGUAACC
rnacentral:rRNA from 1 species